rnacentral:rRNA from 1 species
CCCCACUGUGCGGGCGUGGCCUAAUACAUGCAAGUAGAACGCUGAAGAGAGGAGCUUGCUCUUCUUGGAUGAGUUGCGAACGGGUGAGUAACGCGUAGGUAACCUGCCUUGUAGCGGGGGAUAACUAUUGGAAACGAUAGCUAAUACCGCAUAACAAUGGAUGACACAUGUCAUUUAUUUGAAAGGGGCAAUUGCUCCACUACAAGAUGGACCUGCGUUGUAUUAGCUAGUAGGUGAGGUAACGGCUCACCUAGGCGACGAUACAUAGCCGACCUGAGAGGGUGAUCGGCCACACUGGGACUGAGACACGGCCCAGACUCCUACGGGAGGCAGCAGUAGGGAAUCUUCGGCAAUGGGGGCAACCCUGACCGAGCAACGCCGCGUGAGUGAAGAAGGUUUUCGGAUCGUAAAGCUCUGUUGUAAGUCAAGAACGAGUGUGAGAGUGGAAAAUUCACACUGUGACGGUAGCUUACCAGAAAGGGACGGCUAACUACGUGCCAGCAGCCGCGGUAAUACGUAGGUCCCGAGCGUUGUCCGGAUUUAUUGGGCGUAAAGCGAGCGCAGGCGGUUUGAUAAGUCUGAAGUUAAAGGCUGUGGCUCAACCAUAGUUCGCUUUGGAAACUGUCAAACUUGAGUGCAGAAGGGGAGAGUGGAAUUCCAUGUGUAGCGGUGAAAUGCGUAGAUAUAUGGAGGAACACCGGUGGCGAAAGCGGCUCUCUGGUCUGUAACUGACGCUGAUGCUCGAAAGCGUGGGGAGCGAACAGGAUUAGAUACCCUGGUAGUCCACGCCGUAAACGAUGAGUGCUAGGUGUUGGAUCCUUUUCCGGGAUUCAGUGCCGCAGCUAACGCCAUUAAGCACUCCGCCUGGGGGAGUACGACCGCCAAGGUUGAAACUCAAAGGAAAUUGACGGGGGGCCCGCACAAGCGGUGGGAGCAUGUGGUUUAAUUUCGAAGCAACGCGGAGAAACCUUACCAGGUCUUGACAUCCGGAUGCUAUUUUCUAGAGAUAGAAAGGUUACUUCCGGUACAUCCGGUGACAGGGUGGGUGCCAUGGU